UACGUAUGUCUCGAGCGUUACCCGGAAUCACUGGGUGUAAAGGGUUCGUAGGCGGUUUAAUAAGUUGGAUAUGAAAGACCGGAGCUCAACUUCGUGUUUGUGUUCAAAACUGUUAAACUAGAAUCAGGGAGAGGUAAGUAGAAUUCUAAGUGUAGGGGUGCAAUCCGUAGAUACUUAGAGGAAUACCAAAAGCGAAGGCAACUUACUGGAACUGUAUUGACGCUGAGGAACGAAAGCGUGGGUAGCGAAAAGG
rnacentral:rRNA from 1 species